rnacentral:rRNA from 1 species
UUAGAGUUUGAUUCCUGGCUCAGAAUGAACGCUGGCGGCAUGCCUAACACAUGCAAGUCGAACGAAGCCUUCGGGUUUAGUGGCGCACGGGUGCGUAACGCGUGGGAAUCUGCCCCUUGGUUCGGAAUAACAGUUGGAAACGACUGCUAAUACCGGAUGAUGACGUAAGUCCAAAGAUUUAUCGCCGAGGGAUGAGCCCGCGUAGGAUUAGGUAGUUGGUGUGGUAAAGGCGCACCAAGCCGACGAUCCUUAGCUGGUCUGAGAGGAUGAUCAGCCACACUGGGACUGAGACACGGCCCAGACUCCUACGGGAGGCAGCAGUGGGGAAUAUUGGACAAUGGGCGAAAGCCUGAUCCAGCAAUGCCGCGUGAGUGAUGAAGGCCUUAGGGGAAAAAGCUCUUUUACCC